rnacentral:rRNA from 1 species
CUACACAUGCAGUCGACGAACUCUUCGGAGUUAGUGGCGGACGGGUGAGUAACACGUGGGAACGUGCCCUUUGGUACGGAAUAACUCAGGGAAACUUGAGCUAAUACCGUAUGUGCCCUUCGGGGGAAAGAUUUAUCGCCAUUGGAGCGGCCCGCGUCUGAUUAGCUAGUUGGUGGUGUAAUGGACCACCAAGGCGACGAUCAGUAGCUGGUCUGAGAGGAUGAUCAGCCACAUUGGGACUGAGACACGGCCCAAACUCCUACGGGAGGCAGCAGUGGGGAAUCUUGCGCAAUGGGCGAAAGCCUGACGCAGCCAUGCCGCGUGAAUGAUGAAGGUCUUAGGAUUGUAAAAUUCUUUCACCGGGGACGAUAAUGACGGUACCCGGAGAAGAAGCCCCGGCUAACUUCGUGCCAGCAGCCGCGGUAAUACGAAGGGGGCUAGCGUUGCUCGGAAUUACUGGGCGUAAAGGGAGCGUAGGCGGACAUUUAAGUCAGGGGUGAAAUCCCGGGGCUCAACCUCGGAAUUGCCUUUGAUACUGGGUGUCUUGAGUAUGAGAGAGGUGUGUGGAA